rnacentral:rRNA from 1 species
AUGAACGGUGAACGGAAAGUACAUUGGGUCUCGUGGGAAAAGAUGUGUGCACCCAAAAGAGAUGGGGGUUUAGGGUUUAGAGACCCUCAAGCAUUCAACCAAGCUCUUCUUGCCAAGCAGGCCUAGCGGAUCCUCUCUUCUCCGUCAUCUCUGGUUGCUAGAGUUCUCAAGGCAAGGUACUUUCGAGAUAGCUCCAUCCUUGCAUCUACCUGCCCCUCAAAUGCUUCAUAAAUUUUUCGGAGCAUCCUGCAUUGAAGAGAUCUGCUGCAGGAAGGUUUAGUUUGGAGAAUUGGUGACGGCUCCCAACAUUCACCAUGA